GCGCGGGGAAGGGGGGGGGGAAUGGAGCGGAGUGCAGCGCGUGCGCACGCUUGCGCGCAGGCGGCAGGACGCAGGAGCCCUGGGGGAGGGGGGGGCCUGGGGGGUCGGGGCGUCGCGCCGUCGCGCCGUGCUGCGCGGGGGCGGGCGUGGGCGUGGGCGUUGGUGCUGGUGCGCGCGGACCGGGCGGCGGCCGGGCCUGGCCCGCGGGGGAAGCGGGGCCGCGUGCGCAGCAGGCCUGGACUGCCCCGAAACCUCCGCUCUUUGACAUCGAGGUGGAAGAGCAGGUAGAGAGGAAGCUCGGAGGGGCCUAGGCGCUCGCGGCCCUCUGCUAAAGUCAUGUGUAAAAUGGGCUGGCAGCUCGGGCAGUGCAUGAGGUGUCUGCCAUGGUUUUGGCACUCCGCAGAUGGCCUGCGAUCACAAGAAAUGAUUGAAGUCAGUUAUGCUUUUUUCACUUUUUUGGGAGAGAUAUAAUAAAAGAGAUAGUAAAAUCCUACCGGUAAGGGAUAUGUUCUCUCUACAGGUACUCAGGAAUCUGCAAAGGUGGGUUUGUUUGUAGUGCUAUUUAAACUAAGCACUUCAAGUCUCUGCAAAAUCAGGGCCUGUGUCAGAGACUCAAUAAUGAAAGUGUGUUAUCUCCUGUAAAAUGUAAAUAAAUAGUUGCAAUUAAAAGCACAUUGGGCAGAACCUUGUUCAAAGCCAACAAAGGAAGGUAUAAUGGAACUUUAGGAAAGACUACUCUAUAAACAACAACAAAACCCCCAUUCUUUAAAAAUGCUUCUCUAGUGUGCUUCUAAAUUAAAUGAUGGUGAAAUUUGACUUUGAAGUUCAUAUCUGCCCAGAAAUCAAAUAUAUGAAAAAAUCUUACGGAGCUUAUGCUAUUAAGGAGCAUUUCUUGGGCUUAGAAUUUUGUUGCUUUGAUGAAUGACUGAAGAAGCAGUGGAGGAUUGUUUCCCAUGCCUGAAAAAGGUAGUUCUUGCUACCUUCUCUAAAAAAUAUGGGAAGAAAUAAUAAAGCUUAGCUUUUGUGAAAAGGACUUCACAGGAGAGAGAAUAGUGGCCGUUCCUUGUCUGCGGCUAGUUUCUGUUAUAAUAAUUAUUAGGCUAGUGUAGUCAAGCAUUUAUUAGAAUAGACCUAUCCAAUUACAUACUUGUAUCAUGUGAAUAUUUUUUUUCCUCCUGAGAUCAGCCCUGUGAAACUGUACUAUAGCUUUUCAAUGGAGAGAAUGAUCCAUACCAAAGAGCUGUACCUAACUUGCUGUGAUGUAAGGAUUUUGACAUCAUUAAAAGCCUGUUGUAAUCUUUAAAAUCUAGCACUUCAGUUCAACUGUAUUAAAUGGUUAAACUGUUCUAAUUAUGCUUUCUGUACACCUAGAUCUAGCAUAUGGAUUUUUAGUGUCUCAAAGCUACCUGAAAUUGUUCAGUAUCAGUGUUCAAGGUGAUAACUCAUGCUAAGGAUAUGAUGGUAAGAGUCUGGUAAAGCUUAUUGUGUAUGGUAAAACUUUUCUGACACUGUUUAUAAGCAGUUCCAAUAUGUGGUCUUACUGACUUAACCUGUAGGUUGCCCUCAAUCUAUUUUGGCUAUAUAGAAGUUUGAAAAAUGCUCUGAGUAGGAGAUACUGAGAACCUCACGUGCAAGUAGGAUAAAAUUCAUCUGCUGAGUAGGACAAACUGUAUAAAGUUACUAAACAAAAGACAGGUGCCGAAAAAGAUGAUAUCUGUAAGUGUUCUUUGGUAACUUAUGAGGCAUGGAGUAGAGAAAUGGUUAUAAAAAUCAGUUGACCAGUGCUUUUCUAGUACAUCCUUGGCUAUGCUUUAGAAGAUCAGACAUUAGAAAGCCUGAAAAUCCAUCAGAACAGUUUUAACUAGAAUUAUGCAUCUCUGCAUUUAAACAAAAAAGUCUGUUCUGUCUGAUUCUUGGUGACUGGAACUUGAUCAUCACAAUUUCACUUUUCUAUGUCAGUCUUCAAGAUGUUAUACUCUUGCCUCCAUUGCUGCUGUUUGGUCUCUGAGAGGAAAAACAUAGUUCUGUGAUGCAAAUGACACUGCAAGUCCAAACUAAUACUAAGGCUUCAUUGUACUGACCACUGUGCAGAUGCUUUAAGCCAUCCUGCAUGCUUUGCUAAUAACCCACUCCUGAAUGUGGAUGCAAUUUAUACUGGCAAGAUAAUUGGGACUUUGCCAAGACAGCUUUUUCUUUGGUUCCACUUUCCAUUCCCUCUCUUCCCAAUUUAAAUAAACUAUACCAUGAUUUUUUUUGCAUAAUUGUCUGCAACAUAAAUGCUUGUUAGACUGGUUAUGUUAGCCACCAAUCACCUUUUGGUGACCUGUGAACAACUUUGUAUGAAAGCAGGGCACAAGACUCAGGUGAAGAGUUUACUUACACUGUUUACAGCAUAGGCAGUUUGAACAGACUCAUCACGUGCUAGCUAAUCAUAGGAGACCGUCCUCCAAGUUGCACUGGAUAUUCAGUGUAUUUAAAUGUUGAUAUUAUUUGGUUCUCUGUAUGUACAUGAAGAGUUGGCUGCUGCUUUGAAGAGAUCUGAUUCCUGAGUGAAGAAAGAGAUGCCACAAAGUAGGGUGCUUAGUGUGAUAAUGACAGUAACUUGUUAAUUAUGUGUUAACAUAGAACAGUUAGAGCUGUGUAGCUAAUGAGGCAGCUUUCAUAGAAAAGUAAUGCAAGAAGUAGUGAAGGAAGUACUGAUACAGGACUUUAAUUGUGCGGAUUAAAUGCGGAGACAGGAGUGACUUUGGUUCAGCUAACUCUGAAAUGAAAGAAAAGGUUCAAAACAACUUGAAGAUCAGCUCAAGAUAAUUGAACACUUAUGUAUUCCUUUUCUGAUAUCUCAGUUGAGAAUAGAGGGGAGACUGAAAAUGGUGGGGCCACAGAAUAAGCUGGAUUCAAAAUGGGUGAAGCAGUGCAAGCUUAAGUCAGCAAGGCUGAUUGAGGCUGGGGUGAUCUGCAGGGAUCCCCACUAUUUUAUUCCCUUUAAUGCAUCUAUUCACUAGCAGCCUGAAAAGCCUUGCUUCAGAAACUGUUGGAAAUGCUCUGAAUUGUGGGACAGAUUCAUGUAAGAUGUUGCAAUCCUUACUUGCCCUGACGAUGUGAGUAUUGCUCUAACAGUUGAUCAAAACAAGUCUAGGAUAACAGAUUUCAGUGCGUGGUAGGCUGUGGGCUGUUUUUAAGGGGCUCACAAAAGGUACGUAAGAACAGACUUAAACUUCUAUAUACAGGCCUAAAUCUUUAUUUAAAAACUGAUAGGAAUCUGCAAAUUGAAGAAAAAGCCCUCCACUAAAUUACUGAUUUGCAAUUCAUAUUUGUUCCUCAGAAAAUAUAGAAUAACUGUUUUAACUAGAUUUUGCUUCCUAAUAUUUGUGAGAGAGCCAGAAAUAUUUUGACAGCACUGUUAGUUUGUUACACAAGCCUGCCAUAAAGCCUUUUGCUACAACUCCUGGAUUUGAACAGGAAAUAUAAGUAGUCGAUUUUUAUCAUGCUUUUUAAUCACUUCACAUGGCUUUGCAAAGGAGCCAUAUAUCUAUCCUCCUUCUUACAAAUGAAAGUGAGGCACAAAGAGCUGGAAUGACUUGCCCAAGAGCAUUUACAGGCUAUUAACAGGGCUGGGAAUAGAACCCGGGGUACAGGAGUCCUUAUCUAAGGCUCUCUCUAGUGUCACGUUACCGCUUUCAGAAGCAUAGGAUUUGCCUAUUAUUUCUAACUGUCUCAUAAGCCAUUAAUUUAUCCCUGACUAAAAAUCCUGUAUUGAAGACUUUGGAAUGACCCAGUGUGGGCUACUGAGUUGAUCAUCUUUAAACCUAAAGGGUUGUUUCUCGUAAGCUUGGAAGAAGUGAGCCUUUCAGAAGUAGUAAUAUCUAGAACUGAUUUAACCUGCUUGCUCUACAGCUGAAAAUAUUAAUGUAGUUCCUUUGCAAUUUCUCUUCCCCUACCCCAUCCCAAUUCCUCUUAGUGCAUUUUCUAUCCCAAGUAAUGCAGCUAAAUCUUACAGCUCUUAUAGCAAAAGAUUCUUAAAAAUCUCCGCAAUUUAUCUGGAAUCCAUGUCUCUUACAUCAUAUGGCUUGACUUUUAGCUGACCUUAGUGGGUUAGCUUCUGAGUGAAUGUCUGUGGCUGAGAGUCUCUUGCUGUAUCAGUGUGGUUUUCAAAAUAGAAGAAAAAAUGAAGACCCCAGGAAAAGAAAAACAUGCAUGCUGUUACAUAUAAGCACAUGUGACUGUGGCACCAUGUUCAUCUAACCUCCUAAUUUUGAUUCUGCCCUAGCAAAGGCUUUCUGGAAACCUGAAUGCUACCAAUUCUCAUUAAUGUUUUUUAAUAAAAGCAACUGCCAGAAGGUCUGGAGGGAUGGUGCUUAAGCUUUAAAGUAUCAUCAGAACUGCCCUUGUAGGUGUUGUAUGAUCCUCAUACAUCACCUGGCUUCAGGGUUUUCUUGGGACUACUUCCAGGGGAGGGAGAGCAGGUGUGGUGCUCUUUUCUCUGAAUGAUGUCCACGGACAUAAAAGCACCCAGUUUUCUAUCAAGUGCUGCCGGGCCAGUAGCAGAGGGAAAUCUAGGUGUGUUUCUGUGGGCUGCCCCAACAGCUGCAGAGCUCUGGGGAUUGGCCCAAGCCUGAGCCCCAGCAGUGCCUGCAGGCAGGGCUGGCAGAGGUGGAUGAAGCCAAAGUCCCUGUUGAGAGAUGAGCAGGCUCGUAGCAGGGCUCAGUAUUGCAGUCACUUGUACAGUUUUGCAUUCUGUGUCUGGGAAUGCUUGCAAAAUUCAUUCAAUAGCUGCUUCUGUUUCAACAAAUUGGUAUGUUCGGUUCCCGCUGUAAAUCAGGAGCAUGAGAGAUCUGGAGUGCAGAGUGAAAGGAGCAAAGACUUGUACUAGAUAUGUAUUCAGAGAGGCCUAAAUGACGAUUCUAAAGUAGCAUUAGGGGAGAGGUAUCUCUGUGCAGACCAGCCUUGUCUCAAAUGAUAGGAGUUUACAUUAAGCAGGUAGUUAAAAUGGGUGGUAUCCUGGUUAAAGCCAAAUGUGUUGGCUGCAGUGGAACAGGACCUAUUUUUACCUAAUCAUGAAUAAGGAGCGCAGUUAAAAUCCUCCAGAAGCAGCAACGCUGUCAGAUUCUUAUCAGUUGCAAGGAAUCGCAGAGUCAAAGUUAGAGCCAUGCUUCAAUGUAAUGCUUAACAUUUGUAUGUGAAGAUUGAACUGCUUCAACCACCUAAUCUACAUUUUCAGCCUUGUUUUCCCGGUGACACCUACUGCCCUCCAUUGACUGAAGUGCCUGAGCUUCGUCCUUUCGAUUGCACUGGUUUUACAUGUUACGGAUAGUCUGAAUCAAUAUGCAGCUUCCAAUUUAAAAUACUUUGGAUGUAAACAAUGUAGUUUUUAAGGGUGACCCAUCAAAAUAGCACAGUUCUCCAAAAUUAUCUGUCUAGGUAUUUAAUGCUGAGAUCAAAAGACAUUUUGACUUAGCAACGUCAUUCAAGAUUUGCUUCUCACUGUCCCACUCAAGCAUGAAUGCACAGUGAUAAAAAGGUGUGGGCUGUACAUUACAUCCAUAGGUCAUCUAAAGUCUGUGGCUCAAAUCAGAGAAGCUUUUGCUAGAUCUUUCUGUCAAUUCCUAAUUUCAGAUUUGUCUUGGACUCUGUCUCCAUUUUUGGAAGCUACUUUUGUUUCACUCAUUACAUCAGCAUCACAUACAUAUGACAAGAUCUGUCUUUACAGCUGGGUUUUUCCCUCAUCUGACAGGUAUAUCUGUUGUUUAUAUUGCCUUUGAGAGGGUAUACCCUGAACAAAUCUUUCACUAUGAGAGUCAGGCCCUGAGUGAGGAAGAAUUACAGGAAGCACCUUCACUAGUAUCAGCUGGAAGAAUCAAUCAUUUGAUAGAAGGAGGCUGGAGUUAUGAGAGCCUGUCUCCAGAUUUAGAACUGCUGAAGGGGGAAAAAAUGGCUUCUUUAGGCAAGCUCUUGCUAGUUUGGGGAAUAAUUCUCCCCCAAAAUCUAGCAGGGGAAGCCUGAGCUCCCCAUUUUUACAAAGCGCUUGCACUCUUGAUGCUCAUCAAAGAUAGACUGCCAGGAGUGGUAGAAGACACUUUGUUUCCUCCUUGUUGUGAGCAAAUCUGAAAUAAGUACUAGAAAUCUAAUGCUUCAUUUUCAACUUGUUCAAUUGUUGGCAAUAUUCUGGAGCAUCCAACAGGUGGUUCUUAAACGGCAUUCAGGAUCCCUGUACACCUCAGCAGUGAGGGAUGAUACCUGUUUCAGUCCUGGAGACAAGAAACUGAAGGUGUCUGUAGUCUCACUGUCAACACAUUAUGAAUACAUGUGGUGCAGUUAUCUUCACAUCAGAUCUUGAGAGCAGGUAGCUGUGGAGUGUGGUAUGAUUUUACCCUAUCAACAACUGGUUGUGUUUUUUUAUGCUAAGAGGGACUAUGAGGAACGUGACUGUUGUUGUUUGCAGCCUGCUGGACCAGUGUUAUUUCAGAUCUGCUCAAAAACAUCAUCCUUUUCUGCAGAGAAAUUCUUUAAAUGUAGAAGGGUUGUGAAAUGAUAAGGAUCCCUGGAAUUACCAUGAGUCUAACAAUGACCAGAAAAAAAAAAAAAAAAUCAGUGCUGCAGGUCCUCCAUGUGCGUCUUGCCUGUUUGUUCCUUCUCUGAAGCAGGCUUUGGGUUGGGCAGCUAGAAGAGAGGAGUCUAGGUCCUUAUUCUCCAUCUUGCAGCCUCUGUUGCAUCUGUGAAUUAUGGCUUAUCUAAUGAGUGGGGGAAAAUGUCUAGUUAUCAAUCCUUAUGACUGCUUCAUGAAAGGUAUUUCCUCAGAAAGGGUGUUUGAAUGUUCUGGAGAGUAUUCUGGAAUUAGGGUUUAAACUGUCAUUGCUGUUGAAAAGCAGUCCUGCUCUCCACAGGCAUCUUUUUGCUGUUCCUACCCUGUCCCCUCUUUUGUCAGCACUGGUGUUUAUGCAGCAGCACAGUGAAGCAGAUCAGGGAGGUAAUCUGUCUGGAAACUAAUCCAGCUGAAGGGGCAGAUAGUUUUCAGGCCCUGUGCACUGAGAAGUGGUGGGAAAGCAUGGCCUGGUGUGGUGAAGGAAGCUUGCACACAGAUUGAUUUACUGCAAUCCUGGAAUCACACCAUUAGCAAAUUCCCAAGGCCUUUGGGUGAAUAUUCAAAAGUUACCUUUAAUUAGGUACAUUACACAGGAAUACUGGAAUCCCUCUCAGCCAUAGCCCCCUGCUCUAGGAUCUCUCUGUGCUGCUGCUGAAGCAACAAAUUACAUUUCUUGACUGGUCUGUCCAUUUAAGUGUGCAGCAUCAUGUGCUUAAAAGGUGACAACGGUGAGAUCACACAAUGUGUAUAGCUGUGACUUUAAGGAGUUCAUUUCUCUUGCCACUUGGUGGAGAUGUUGAUUGUUGUCUUCAAGGAGCUUUGGACUUGCACUGUUGAGGGCAAGUAGCAUGUAAUGUUGACAAGGGGUGUUUUACUGGUCAGUAAUGAGGGAUGACUUUUUCCAGUGCUGCAUGGUUUUUCCAGUAAUCCUUGCGUUCAGGACACAUGGCUUCCUAUGUGUACUCUGUUUUACAUGUAAACAUUUCUACGCUUAGGGUGAACUAAUCAACAGCAGGAAGUAUUUUGCUAGGGACAACUGAUCAAAUUUAACAGAUUUUCAGCCUAAGAUGCUGCAAGCGUUUUCUUUUGAAUCCUCCCUUAUUUGUCAUCCAAGGUUAUUCUAGAGCUAGAAGGUUUUCCCAUCCCAGUCAAAGGCUGAUUGUGGUCUUUUUGUCUCCCCGAUGGCACGGUUUCUCUAGUGAGAUCUGAACUCUCUCCUCUCAUCCUCAGUGGAUCAGCCCUCACUUUCUCCAAAUAUACAAUUAUCAGUGCCUUUCACUCUGAUGUCCCUGGUUGAAGUAUGGUCCUUUGAUCUCUGUCCAUCUGUGUCACUUUUAGGGUGACAGUCCUUGUAAGGAAUCUUGAAGGAUAUUGAAUGUUUACUUGCCACUAACUAUUCUGGAGAUGAUGGGUGUUUAAUGUAUACUUGCCAAGGUGAAUGGUGGAUUGCAUCACUGGGAGAUUUUCAAGGAUUUUGCAGUUGAAGAGAACUGAGUGCUUGCAUUGCCUCCUUACUUCAGUAUGUGGUAUGCCCUGUAGGUACUGUAUUAUCUGGUCUUUGCUGUUUGUCAUCCCCCACACGUGAAUGUAAAUACCAGGAGACACACAACCUUUCAUUAUGCAAAGGGCAUAAAAACAGGAAUUUACCCAAAUUAACUGAUAAAAAGUACACUGUGUAUGGAAAAUGGUCUACUCUCUCUCAUUUGCCUAUGACUAAUGUCUCAGGUUCUCAUCAGUUUUAUGCUGACAAGCAGAGAUAGAGAAGAGGCCAUCCAUUUGCAAGACUGUGUAAAUGAGAUCAAUAACACUGUAAAAUCCUCUCUACUGACUGCUGCUGAUGAGCAUCAGUGUAAUCUAGCCCUUGAAGAAAUUUACAUGAUAUAGUAAAUGCAUAUUCACUGUAAGGAUAACAGCUGGCUUAAAUAUGUUGUAUAAACUCUAUUUUCCUCUGCUUGUUUGUAUGUAGUACUACAAACCCAGGUUUUCUGAGGCGCUGAAAAUCUUACACCCCCUGGUUCCUCAGCUUAAGUUACGUUUGUCUUCACUGCAAAGCAGAAGAGGAAAAUGGAAAACUGAGAUUCUCAUGUAUUUUUAAGUCUCAAAUAACUAAGACGAUAAGGAAAACCUGAGUAAGACAACAUCACUCACAUUUUACAGAAUUUUCCUAUUUGGAAUAGGAUAUAAAAAUAAUAUUUCUCUGCUGUUUUGUGUAGACAGGUUAUUGACAGUCAAUGCAAGUGCAUGUUGGGAUGGGUAGACUAGCUAUCAUUCUAGAAAUUUAUAAAUGUUCAGCCUUUAUUGUUUCUUUUGUAAUUUCCAUUUCUUAAAAUCUGAUCUUUGUCUCGCUUGCCUUUUUAUUUUACUGGUGAAUUGAUUAUGUGUGAUUGAUUGUAUGACUUUGUCUUGUAAUGUAGCUUAGCAAAAACUAGGUGCAUUUUGAUGCAAAUGUAUUUUUUUAGCUUUACAUUUAUGUAGAUAGUAUUACUUCUGUGAACCACUUUCAGUGUGAACUAGCAUUAUGUUUGUUCACAACAGAGUUGAGCAUUUUAUUUUACUUUUUCAGCAAUUUAUUUUACUUUUUUAUGAUCUGAUGCACAGAACAUGAGAAGAAAAAACAUGAAAUAUUCUUUAAAUAAACUGUUUUUCAAUGUGAUGUUACUUGUAAUAGUCAAUGUUGGGCAGUGCCGUACAGUGGCAUGUGCAGAGCUAUCCUGCAUUGCUCUGAGCGUGCUUGGGUGGAUAGCGGAGGUCCAGCUAGCGUAAUCAGUUUCCUCAGCCUGCAUGAGCAUCUUGACAGUUAGCUGCGUUCUUUUGCAAGACACUAUAGUGGAUAAUAUACACACACCUUCAGCAUUUCCAUACUCAACCUGUGAAGUCUGGAAGAAGCUACCAGUUUGCUUUAUAAGUCAAAUUUUUGGAGGUGUGGAAGAGUAAACAAUGAAGGAACAUAAAAAGAUGAUAGGAGAAUAGAAUGUUUUGGCUUGCUUUUCAUUCAAACCAUUCUGUUUAUCACCCAUAUCAUGAGAUAAAAAGGGAAAAAUAUCCAUUACUGUAGCAUAUGUACAAAGAGAAAUUAUUUGUAUUAUAGUUAUUGAGUAAUUCUAAUUGACCUGCCUAAUAGAAUAGAAUUGAAUACAACACAAGUGUAUUUCCCUUAUCGUAAUGUAUGAGAUAUACACAACUGGCAUUACAUUUAAUUCUAGUCUGUCUAAUGACCUUUGUCUGAAAUUCAUAAUACUGCUGAUUCAAAAUCAAAACCAGUGUUUAUUUCUGUCAGCCAAAAACCAAAUCAAGCCCAAUCAGUAAACUUUUCUCUAAUGAACACGAGCCUUCUUGUACCUUUGCCCUUACAGAAACCCGAAGUAAAAAGAUAGGACUUACAUUGUGGCUUGUAAGAGAGAAUCUUGUAAACCACUGAAGGGCAUUGACAACUUGGAGAGCUCAGGGCUGAAGGUUCUUCUGUUUUUUUUUUUGUUUUUUUUUUUUUGGGGGGGGGGGGGUUUCCCUUCUUUGUCCCCUCUUGCCAAGGAGUAACCAGCUGCUGAGAUUUACUGCUCAUCUGCUCAUAGGUGUGGUGCUCUGACAUGACAAGAGAGGUAUGUGCUACCUUGACUGUUGUUAGUCAUGUAAAGUGACCUGUGCUCUGUUCUCAUUUCCAGCAUUGCAAACCAGCGGAAGUGACUGAUGGUCUUACUUCAUGUGUUACUGUAAAUUAGAUUAGAAUCUGCUGCUCUUGGAUUUUAGUUAGCUGACAGUAUCUUUAAAAUGAAUACCUUCUAGAGCGUUUUCACUGUAACAUGAAGCGUGCAGCAUUUUUAAGGGUUAAAGUUUAAGUGAAGCAAAACAAUCUGAGAUCUUUCCUCAUUUGAAGGGGAAAAGAAAUUUAAAUUAAGAUCAUUCUACAUUUAAAAACUCAUUAAAUAUCAGGAAAGUGUGUGAGUAACCCUUCCACCCUCAAUUGAUACAAAAGACUUUUUUCACUUUACAUGAAUGUGUAGACUGUAGCUCCUUCAAAACCAAUUUUUUUUUGGCCUCUGACUAAAAACCAUACAAAGGGAUGUUCCAGGGUAAAUACUUUGAGUAACUAUUAAGCUGGCAGAUGUCUUAUCUAAAAAUAAUGGUAGAGGAAGGAAAACUCUUAAUUGAUUGCUUUUCUUUUCUAAAAUAUACCGUAAGGCAGUUCUGACAUUAUUCCUUUCAUGUCAUUAAAUUCAUAUAAGCUAUUGUACUACAGUGUAAGAUACACAUUUUAGAUGAAUGAAAAGUACAAGAAGUUUGAAUGAUGAGUGUACAUAAAUGUACUCAUCUCUUAUAUAAUGCCUUUUUGAGGUGCUGAUAUUUUCAGUACAUUAGUUGCUCAUAAUGCAUACUCUUGUAUAAAACAUUUCAAAGGUAAUUUUCUAAGGCCAAAGUAUGACUAAAAAGUUAUUCACUGAACGGCAGUCAGUAAUCUGAAUCUGAAAGGAGACCAGUGGGAAAUGAAAUAAACUUACGCAACAGGCAAAAAGUUUGCUUAUCUAAAAGAAUCACCUGGAUUCAGUGUCCUAAAACAGAAGCUACAGAAGUGUUGUUGGCUGAUGCAGAGGCAAAAUCAUUGUUCUAAUCAUGGGCCAUUCAAGGAAGGAGGGGUGGGGGAAAUUUUGGCAAAGUAUCCAUACCUGUUGUAGCAGAAGUCCAAGAGAGGUAGUCGGCUCUUCUGCUGCAGGGUAAAUGCAAUUGCUUUUAUGCUGUAUGCUUCAGGAUGAAUAAAAUUAAUCAAUGAAGAAAUAGUAUGUUUAAGGAAUAUGUUUAAAAAGAAGAAAAUAAGUUGAUUUAUCAGACUGCUUCCAGGCAGUUUUUAAAUAACUUGUCAUAUAUUUCUUGGCUAUUACAACCUUGCAUAAGAGCUUUUCCAGCUUCAUAAAGAGAAUUAAUGUGAAAUCAAUAAUGGCAUUUGAAAAUUCACCAAACAUUUCCCAUCUAGAGAAAGUCUUAACUUUGAGUGCUACUAAUGCGACACAGAAAAAACACACAUAGAGACCUGACUUUAAUGGCAGACAAAAGAGAAUGCAGAGUAGGUCGAAAAUGCAGGGAAGAAAGAUGCUUUCAGAAGCAACCAGAAGGAAUGAGGAAGAACUGCCUGUUCCCCACACAAGAGCAAACCUGAAAACAGCCCCUGCGGGCAUCACCUUGUGAAAAGCCUUUUGCUUGAUGAUGUAGGCUAGGUGCUAAUGUUGAUGUCCAGCUAAAGAAUCCAAAUGGGCAUGAACAGUAACCAAAAGUUCAUUUGAUGUUGAGAAUAGGAACAGAACCACAAAAACGUGAGUUUCCCAUGGCAUAUUAGGAGCGUGCUACCUGCUGGACUCCAAGCAAUGAAGAAGAUACUUGUGCUAUACCAGGUUGGUUUGUUCUGCUAUCUCAAAGCCUGGAAUCAUUGUGGAAAUGGGCAUAAACAAAAUCAUGAAAUAGAUUUGUUAUUUUAUAUUUUUACUACAAGCACAAUGAGGAGCAAUACAACAUGUAAGUGAGAUGAUGCAUGGUAAUCUUGUGGCUGCAUAUGUGUUUAGGCUACUUCACUGCUGGGAAAGAUGCACUGUAGUUGUAAGUUAAUACAACUGUAAUUACCUGCAGUUGCCACAUUUGAUCUGGGAAAAUAAAUAAAAUCUGUCAGUAUCCCCUGUCCUCCUCCUCCCUCCCCCAAGCAACGCAGAAUUGUCUUCCAGCUCUUUUGUAGUGUCACUCAGAAAUAGCAGCAGUAGAGCAAGCCUGUAGAGACUGGGAGGCAGUGGUCUUUCAAGAAAGGCUGAACUGAGCUGUCAUACCCAAGAGCAAGGUUCAGAGUUUGGUCGGUGUUGACUGCGUCACACAUUAACUGUGUCUGUGCUGGUUGCCCAUGCCCACGCCCUGUUAGUGGCUUUCAAAUGAGAUUUUAAAAUGCACUACUUCAUUGAUCAUUUUGAUUCAGUGUUUUGGGGACUCAUGUGUCUCAUGUUUCCCCAAGCUUUUCUCUGAACUUAAGAGUUAGAAAUGUUUUUUCUUUUUAGGUAAAAACUCAGAUUCUCAUGGAAGCACUUGACUCCAGAAGCUGAGGCUUAUACCAGCAGAUAUGGGAUUCAUGAUAAAAUUGGCAGAGUUGCACUGCUCUACCAGAGACAUAUGCUGCUUUUCCUACUCUUGGAAGUAGUCCCACAGAUGUCUCAUGAUUAUUCACUUGAGUCAUGGUUGCAGAAUUGAUUUUUUUGGUGUUUUAGAUUCCCAGAUUCUUACAAUGAGUAUCUAUGAUGUUUAAAGUGCAAAUUCUAAUAGAAAAGCUACCUAUUUUAAAACACAGAUGUUUUACCAAAAAACAAUGUUUUGAAUUUAAACUAAAUUGCCUCCUGAAUUACAAUUGUAUUUGCUCAAACUAAGACAUCUCCAAGGACAGAGCAUCAAAAAUAUAAAAGUAAACUGGGCAUGGCAUACUGUUAUUAAGUUUUGUAUUUUUUUUAAUUGUGGUUUUCACCAGUUAUAUUAUUGUGGUAUUAGUCACUAGGUGGUGCUGUCAUACAUAGUCUGCUACAUUCCUUUUUUCAGAGUGUGAGUGGCUGAAACUAAGUUUUCAGCUGGAGUUUAUUUUGGAAGGAAACUAUGGGAGUUAUUAAGCUAGAAAAAAAGAUCUCUUGCUCAUUUGGACUAGAGUGAAUUUUUAGAGUAAAAUUGUUCUAGGGAGCCUGGGUAUUAUUUUUUGGCUGAGAUUCCUGAAAGGUUGUCUUGAAAGAUUCCUGAAGGUUGUCUAUGUGCCAUUUAUGAUCACUUCUGCUCCCACGUGCGUGUGCUCUGUAAGAAACUUUGGUAGUGCCUGUACUUACAAGCUGUUUAAUUAUGUGUUGCAAGGCUUUAAUAUCUAAUGUUAUUGAGAUAAUGAUUUAUUUUCCAUAUGUGUUUUUACUGUUAAACAGCUGAAUUUAUUGCAUAUAUUUUAUACACUAUACCAUUAACUGAUGUUGGACAACGUGAGAAGACUUGCACAUUACAAAUGUGAUUAAAGAACUUUAGCUUCUUUCAUUUGCAUUGCCAUUUUAAAAUUGCAUUUUAGUUUCA